rnacentral:rRNA from 1 species
GAAUUCGCCCUUAGAGUUUGAUCCUGGCUCAGGACGAACGCUGGCGGCGUGCUUAACACAUGCAAGUCGAACGAGGAUCGGAAGGGAGCUUGCUCCCGUCUGAUUCGAGUGGCGGACGGGUGAGUAACGCGUGAACAAUCUGUCUCAUACAGGGGGAUAACGCAUCGAAAGAUGUGCUAAUACCGCGUAGGACCACGCUGGGGCAUCCCAGAGAGGUGAAAGGAGCAAUCCGGUAUGAGGUGAGUUCGCGUCUGAUUAGAUAGUUGGUGAGGUAAAGGCUCACCAAGUCAACGAUCAGUAGCCGACCUGAGAGGGUGACCGGCCACAUUGGGACUGAGACACGGCCCAGACUCCUACGGGAGGCAGCAGUGGGGAAUAUUGGGCAAUGGGCGAAAGCCUGACCCAGCAACGCCGCGUGAAGGAAGAAGGUUUUCGGAUCGUAAACUUCUGUCCUAUAUGAAGAUAAUGACGGUAGUAUAGGAGGAAGCCCCGGCUAACUACGUGCCAGCAGCCGCGGUAAUACGUAGGGGGCGAGCGUUGUCCGGAAUGAUUGGGCGUAAAGGGCGCGUAGGCGGCCGGAUAAGUCUGGAGUGAAAGUCCUGUUUUCAAGAUGGGAAUUGCUUUGGAUACUGUCAGGCUUGAGUGCAGGAGAGGUUAUCGGAAUUCCCGGUGUAGCGGUGAAAUGCGUAGAGAUCGGGAGGAACACCAGUGGCGAAGGCGGGUAACUGGACUGCAACUGACGCUGAGGCGCGAAAGUGUGGGGAGCAAACAGGAUUAGAUACCCUGGUAGUCCACACUGUAAACGAUGAAUGCUAGGUGUAAGAGGUAUCGACCUCUUUUGUGCGGGAGUAA